UACGAAGGGAGCUAGCGUUGUUCGGAAUCACUGGGCGUAAAGCGCACGUAGGCGGAUGUGCCAGUCAGGGGUGAAAUCCCGGAGCUCAACUCCGGAAUUGCCUUUAAGACUGCAUCGCUAGAAUUGUGGAGAGGUAAGUGGAAUUCCGAGUGUAGAGGUGAAAUUCGUAGAUAUUCGGAAGAACACCAGUGGCGAAGGCGACUUACUGGACACAUAUUGACGCUGAGGUGCGAAAGCGUGGGGAGCAAACAGG
rnacentral:rRNA from 1 species